rnacentral:rRNA from 1 species
UACGUAGGGCGCAAGCGUUGUCCGGAAUUAUUGGGCGUAAAGAGCUCGUAGGCGGCUUGUCGCGUCGAAUGUGAAAACUCGGGGCUCAACUCCGAGCUUGCAUUCGAUACGGGCAGGCUAGAGUUCGGUAGGGGAGACUGGAAUUCCUGGUGUAGCGGUGAAAUGCGCAGAUAUCAGGAGGAACACCGGUGGCGAAGGCGGGUCUCUGGGCCGAUACUGACGCUGAGGAGCGAAAGCGUGGGGAGCGAACAGG